rnacentral:snoRNA from 1 species
GCUGCACGUUGUUGGAGCUUGGUGUUAAGACCACUGGCUGCCAGUGAGUUUGCAGGUAUAGGUAGCGUGCUGCACGAGGGGCUAGUCUCUCACUAACGCUGCAAGGGGCUCUGGCUCAAUAAGCGGAGAGUGAUGGUGAAUAAAAACAAGU